CGUAGGAGGCAAGCGUUAUCCGGAUUCACUGGGCGUAAAGCGCGUGCAGGUGGCGCGGUAAGUUGGGCGUGAAAUCUCCCGGCUCAACUGGGAGAGGUCGUUCAAUACUACCGUGCUUGAGAGCAGAAGAGGAAGAUGGAAUUCCCGGUGUAGUGGUGAAAUGCGUAGAUAUCGGGAGGAACACCAGUGGCGAAGGCGAUCUUCUGGUCUGUUUCUGACACUCAGACGCGACAGCUAGGGUAGUAAACGGGAUUAGAGACCCCGGUAAUCCUAGCCGUAAACGAUGUGUAACUUGGCCGUUCGGUGGGUUAACUCCAUCAGUGCCGAAGACAAACGCGAUAAGUUCACCGCCUGGGGACUACGGCCGCAAGGUUA
rnacentral:rRNA from 1 species